rnacentral:rRNA from 1 species
GGCCCGCAAGGGUGCUGACGAGUGGCGGACGGGUGAGGAAUACAUCGGAAUUUGCCCAGUCGUGGGGGAUAACGUAGGGAAACUUACGCUAAUACCGCAUACGACCGAGAGGUGAAAGCGGGGGAUCGAAAGACCUCGCGCGAGUGGAUGAGCCGAUGUCGGAUUAGCUAGUUGGCGGGGUAAAGGCCCACCAAGGCGACGAUCCGUAGCUGGUCUGAGAGGAUGAUCAGCCACACUGGGACUGAGACACGACCCAGACUCCUACGGGAGGCAGCAGUGGGGAAUAUUGGACAAUGGGGGCAACCCUGAUCCAGCAAUGCCGCGUGUGUGAAGAAGGCCUUCGGGUUGUAAAGCACUUUUAUCCGGAACGAAACGCGCAGGGUGAAUAUCCUUGCGAACUGACGGUACCGGAGGAAUAAGCACCGGCUAACUUCGCGCCAGCAGCCGCGGUAAUACGAAGGGUGCAAGCGUUACUCGGAAUUACUGGGCGUAAAGGGUGCGUAGGUGGUUGUUUAAGUCUGCUGUGAAAGCCCCGGGCUCAACCUGGGAAUGGCAGUGGAUACUGGACAGCUAGAGUGCGGUAGAGGGUAGUGGAAUUCCCGGUGUAGCAGUGAAAUGCGUAGAGAUCGGGAGGAACACCAGUGGCGAAGGCGGCUACCUGGACCAGCACUGACACUGAAGCACGAAAGCGUGGGGAGCAAACAGGAUUAGAUACCCUGGUAGUCCACGCCCUAAACGAUGCGAACUGGACGUUGGGUGCAACUUGGCACUCAGUGUCGAAGCUAACGCG